GACGAACGCUGGCGGCGUGCCUAAUACAUGCAAGUCGAACGCUUUUUCUUUCACCGGAGCUUGCUCCACCGAAAGAAAAAGAGUGGCGAACGGGUGAGUAACACGUGGGUAACCUGCCCAUCAGGAGGGGAUAACACUUGGAAACAGGUGCUAAUACCGUAUAACACUAUUUUCCGCAUGGAAGAAAGUUGAAAGGCGCUUUUGCGUCACUGAUGGAUGGACCCGCGGUGCAUUAGCUGGUUGGUGAGGUAACGGCUCACCAAGGCAACGAUGCAUAGCCGACCUGAGAGGGUGAUCGGCCACACUGGGACUGAGACACGGCCCAGACUCCUACGGGAGGCAGCAGUAGGGAAUCUUCGGCAAUGGACGAAAGUCUGACCGAGCAACGCCGCGUGAGUGAAGAAGGUUUUCGGAUCGUAAAACUCUGUUGUUAGAGAAGAACAAGGAUGAGAGUAAAAUGUUCAUCCCUUGACGGUAUCUAACCAGAAAGCCACGGCUAACUACGUGCCAGCAGCCGCGGUAAUACGUAGGUGGCAAGCGUUGUCCGGAUUUAUUGGGCGUAAAGCGAGCGCAGGCGGUUUCUUAAGUCUGAUGUGAAAGCCCCCGGCUCAACCGGGGAGGGUCAUUGGAAACUGGGAGACUUGAGUGCAGAAGAGGAGAGUGGAAUUCCAUGUGUAGCGGUGAAAUGCGUAGAUAUAUGGAGGAACACCAGUGGCGAAGGCGGCUCUCUGGU
rnacentral:rRNA from 1 species